rnacentral:rRNA from 1 species
GACGAACGCUGGCGGCGUGCUUAACACAUGCAAGUCGAACGGAAAGGCCCUGCUUUUGUGGUGUGCUAGAGUGGCGAACGGGUGAGUAACACGUGAGAAACCUGCCCUUGACUUUGGGAUGACUUCAGGAAACUGGGGCUAAUACCGGAUAGGAGCUCCUGCUGCACGGUGGGGGUUGGCAAGUUCGGGCGGGUGGGGGUGGUCGCGCUGCCUAUUCGCUUGUUGGUGGGGGAGCUGCUUAGCAAGGGUUUGACGGGCGGCCGGCGUGAGGGGGUGACCAGACACAUUGGGUCUGAGAUGGGCCCCAGACUCCUGCGGGGGGGAGCAGUGGGGUAUAGUGCACAAUGGGCGGAACCCUGAUGCAGCAGCGCCGCGUGCGGGAUGACGGCCUUCGGGUUGUAAACCGCUUGCGACUGUCACGGAGCGUGAGUGACGGUAAUGGGUAAAGAAGCACCGGCUAACUACGUG